AGUGAACGCUGGCGGUAGGCCUAACACAUGCAAGUCGAACGGCAGCACAGUAAGAGCUUGCUCUUACGGGUGGCGAGUGGCGGACGGGUGAGGAAUACAUCGGAAUCUGCUUUUUCGUGGGGGAUAACGUAGGGAAACUUACGCUAAUACCGCAUACGACCUACGGGUGAAAGCAGGGGAUCUUCGGACCUUGCGCGAUUGAAUGAGCCGAUGUUGGAUUAGCUAGUUGGCGGGGUAAAGGCCCACCAAGGCGACGAUCCGUAGCUGGUCUGAGAGGAUGAUCAGCCACACUGGAACUGAGACACGGUCCAGACUCCUACGGGAGGCAGCAGUGGGGAAUAUUGGACAAUGGGCGCAAGCCUGAUCCAGCCAUACCGCGUGGGUGAAGAAGGCCUUCGGGUUGUAAAGCCCUUUUGUUGGGAAAGAAAAGCAGCAGGUUAAUACCCCGCUGUUCUGACGGUACCCAAAGAAUAAGCACCGGCUAACUUCGUG
rnacentral:rRNA from 1 species